UGUAGCAAUACGAUGGAAAGUUUAGUGGCGAACGGGUGCUUAACACGUGGGCAACCUGCCGAGAAGUGGGGGAUAGCUCGCCGAAAGGCGAAUUAAUACCGCAUGUGAUUAGAGUGGACAUCCAUUCGAAAUUAAAGUCGGGGCAACCUGACGCUUUUUGUGGGGCCCGCGGCCUACCAGCUAGUUGGUGAGGUAACGGCCCACCAAGGCUUUGACGGGUAGCUGGUCUGAGAGGACGACCAGCCACACUGGGACUGAGACACGGCCCAGACACCUACGGGUGGCAGCACUCGAGAAUUUUUGACAAUGGGGGAAACCCUGAUCGAGCGACGCCGCGUGGAGGAUGAAGGUCUUCGGAUUGUAAACUCCUGUCAUUGGGGAACAAUGCGUGACGGUUAACUGCCGUUGCGUUGAUAGUACCCGAAGAGGAAGAGACGGCUAACUCUGUGCCAGCAGCCGCGGUAAUACAGAGGUCUCAAGCGUUGUUCGGAUUCAUUGGGCGUAAAGGGUGCGUAGGCGGCGCGGUAAGUCGGGUGUGAAAUCUCGGAGCUUAACUCCGAAACUGCAUUCGAUACUGCCGUGCUUGAGGACUGGAGAGGAGACUGGAAUUCACGGUGUAGCA
rnacentral:rRNA from 1 species